rnacentral:rRNA from 1 species
GACGAACGCGGGCGGCGUGCCUAAUACAUGCAAGUAGAACGCUGAAGGAGGAGCUUGCUUCUCCGGUGAGUUGCGAACGGGUGAGUAACGCGUAGGUAACCUGCCUGGUAGCGGGGGAUAACUAUUGGAAACGAUAGCUAAUACCGCAUAAGAGUAGAUGUUGCAUGACAUUUGCUUAAAAGGUGCAAUUGCAUCACUACCAGAUGGACCUGCGUUGUAUUAGCUAGUUGGUGGGGUAACGGCUCACCAAGGCGACGAUACAUAGCCGACCUGAGAGGGUGAUCGGCCACACUGGGACUGAGACACGGCCCAGACUCCUACGGGAGGCAGCAGUAGGGAAUCUUCGGCAAUGGACGGAAGUCUGACCGAGCAACGCCGCGUGAGUGAAGAAGGUUUUCGGAUCGUAAAGCUCUGUUGUAAGAGAAGAACGAGUGUGAGAGUGGAAAGUUCACACUGUGACGGUAUCUUACCAGAAAGGGACGGCUAACUACGUGCCAGCAGCCGCGGUAAUACGUAGGUCCCGAGCGUUGUCCGGAUUUAUUGGGCGUAAAGCGAGCGCAGGCGGUUAGAUAAGUCUGAAGUUAAAGGCUGUGGCUUAACCAUAGUACGCUUUGGAAACUGUUUAACUUGAGUGCAAGAGGGGAGAGUGGAAUUCCAUGUGUAGCGGUGAAAUGCGUAGAUAUAUGGAGGAACACCGGUGGCGAAAGCGGCUCUCUGGCUUGUAACUGACGCUGAGGCUCGAAAGCGUGGGGAGCAAACAGG